UUUUCUUUUGUGUUGAGUCAUAGGAACCACCGUACUGUUAAGUAGGGUCCAAGAGAACCAGCCAGACUGACUGAAGUGAUGCCUAACCAAAAACCUAUGUCUUCGAGUGAAGACUAUGAGAGCGAAUCUUGUCCAGAGUCGGACAAGUCAGCUUUGCUUGUAGCCCAAGUAAAGUUGCCGUGUGAGUUUGAAAUCUGACCGUUGGAACACGUGUUAGUUCCUUAGUGACCCAGGGUCAUUUCGGACAAAUCAGGUCGGGUUGCCAAGUGGCUAUAAAUAGCCCACCCCCCACAACCAUAAACGGUUGGCUGCUCAGAUUGAGAUGCUCAGAUUGAGAGUACGGCUUUUGUCGUUUGAGAGCAACCCACCUCGAAGCCUUUGAGAGAGAAUUCCUUGCGAGGAUAAAGCCCUAACCACCCAGAGCCAGAGAGAAUUAGGCAUCACUUAAGUCUUCUUCUCUGUGUGAUCUGAAGACUUAUUACACUUGAGGAUUGUGCAUCCUCCAGCCGGUUAGGCGUCGCGUUCUGAGCAUCCAAGAGACAUUGUGGAUUGCCGGUGAACGAAGUCUGUGAAGGUUUGGGAGUCUACCUUGAAGACUUACCAGAGUGAUUGGGCGAGGUCUGUGUGACCUUAGCUCAAGGGGAAUACGGUGAGGACUGGGUGUCCUGAGCUGCGUGUUCAGGACUGGGUGUCCGGGACUGUGUGUCCUAAGGUUUAAAUACCUAGCGGCCCCAAUCAGACGUACAGUUGUCACAGCAACUGGAACUGGUCCAACAAAUCAUUGUUUUCAACGAGUCACUGGUUUCAUCUUCCCUUCCCUUUACUUACUGUUGCUCCUUGUGAAGUCAUUGUAUGUUUGCACUAUCUUUUGUCUUCACUGAGUGACUGCAUGCUCUGUAUGGCUUCAUAAUAUCUUCCUACCUGAUCCUUACUACAUUGCUGCUAUUAAGUCAUUGUGCUUUCACUUCAUUAAACACUUGACUAUGGCUUGCCUAGUGUAGUCUACCUUCCGCUGCAUGGUAAUAGGUUUAUUUCUAUCGUUUGUCUUCAUAACUUCCACGUUUUGAAGACUUUCAUAAAAAUCGCCUAUUCACCCCCCUCUAGUCGAUAUAACGCACUUUCAACACUGUCAACAGGGGCAAUUCCUGUAACUAUACCUACAAAUGAAGACAGUACAGGUGCAGCAAAAUGAUCUCCGUCCUGUUCUCUGAUGCACAAAUUACUUUAUUUUGAAGAAGAUACAUUUGACUCAUGAAUAUGAUUUGCUCAGGAGCUGUGGAUCCAGCGCCUCAUGUAUCGCCUGCCAACACACUAACAACAGGUACAAAAAAUGAAAAAACCCCACACAUUACAAACAUAUGCUGUUCUAUGCAUGUAACUGACCAAAUGUACUAUGCACACAGCUCCAGGUAUCAAUAACCAUGGAGAUCGUGGCCCACAUCCGACAGAUCAAGAUGUAAUCCCAGCCCCAGAGUAUGGAAGUGGCACACAAGUGAGUGGUGGUACGAGGCCACGCCUAACUCGCGAAGAGUUGGGCAAGCUGCCAAUGGAUGAAGUAUGUUGUGAACCACCAGCAUCUAAGAUAACCGGAAAUGAGGAUUAGAUAGAAAGAGACGGCAUGCUGGCAUGGGAGAUGCACCGUAAGUAGACACGGGGACAAAAACUAAAAAAAUGAAAACCUACAAUCAAAAUGCUUACAAUUAAUAUGCUGACUGCUUUAAAUCUUGCUGUACCUGUCAGGCGCUGAAUUGGAGGCUAAAUAUCCUUUAUCACGCGGAGGGGGUGGCGUUGGGAUUACCAAUCAAUCAGGUAAUUUUGUUUGCCAUGAUUGAAAAAGUUGUUGCUUCCAUUACCAAUACAAGUGUUCAAAUAAUAACAAAAACUGAUCCCGCUGAUACAGGCAGAGACAAAAACAGAGGUUUAUUUGCUCGGUUUCAGAGAGGGGGGCGAAGUUUAUCACUAAUCAACAAUAUUAUUGGAGGCUUGUCCAUGCCUACGCUAACAACAAGCCCUGAUGCAGUUGUAACAGCAGAAGCGGUUGACCUAAUCCAACAGCCUGUUCCAUCGGUAAAAGCUGAGCACACCGGAGAUAGGGUCCUAUUUGAACCACCAAUGGCAGGAACUGCUCCAGGUUCCGCAACGAUUGCCUUUUAGAUGACACUAUAUUUGCAUUACAUUUUAGAGCCCCAAACUUUGACUUAUUUGUAAUUAUCCUAUUUUCUGUAUGUAGUUGGAAUUCUGCCAGGACAUGUGCACAAUGACGUGUCGACAGGGCACGAUCCUACUCCACGAGGUACUACGUUCAAUUAUCAGCAUAAAUUAUAUUGUAUAUUUUCCAAGGUUGACCCUCGAGAAAAAGAACUAAAAGGUGUUCUUGCUUGUUUGUAAUGUUGGCAUGCGAUCAAGUGGCUGACACUGACGAUGCUUACGCGUUACGCCUACAAGCUGAAGAAUAUGUUGUUGAUAGUGAGUUCCUGACACUUCCGCAUAGUGGUGUCACAGAAAAGAUUUUGUACUACAUACUAACAUUUAAUCAUGAAUGGAACAGUUACAUCUACAGUAGCUAACGCGGGGGGAUUGGAACAAAAUGCCAAUGUACUUUCAGAACAAAUAGGAUCUCCAAUUCGUAAGUGUGGUGCUGAUAUCUUUCCUGAACAGUGAGAAUUCAUAAAAUCCUUAAGCUUUCAUAUAAACAUAAUGACAUAUUCUUUUUGAUACAGACAACAAUGAAUAUGAAGGAGAAGAGCCAUUCAUUGAUGACUCAACAAGUGGAGACGCGUUUGGUUCAUACUCUGAUAGUCCUUCACGCGGUGACGAUUUCGAUUGGGAUGCAUACGUGGAGGAUUUGGAGUCGAACCUGCAGCAUGAGCAAACCCAACAAGAGACAGCUGACCACAGAUUGGCUGAAAAUCUCCAGGCGUUGUAUGAGGGGAACGGUUUGUGCCUCGCAUCCAUGACCAGCUUCUACUUGUGACCCCAUUUGUAAGUAAAAAAGCUCAUGGUGAUACCCCCUGGGUUUUUCCUCAGCUGUCGCAGCCGACGGCGUCAACAACGCCACUACUCCAGCUGGUGAUGUUCUACAAACUGAAGCACAUAAUGAAAUAAAUGCUCCAGCGGUAACAACCAGGCGUUGGCUUACUGUUGUUGAUGGUACGUACUCACUACAUAUGGAACUGAAAACAAUCUAAUGCAUGCCUCAUCAUCCAAGAACACUAACAAUGAACUUCUGUGUGGCAGGAAUAGUGGCAGUGGGGUCAAGUCCAAGCGAUGGACAAAGCAUCAUAGAACAUGAAGGCGCCGGUGACGGGACCGAAACAAAUGAAGAAGAAAGGCACAAUAAUAGUGAUUGCUACUUGAAACCUAUAGUGUAUGUACAUUACAAGUAGCUCCACUCAUACUGAUUCCCAUUAAAGCAAAUUCCAUCUCGUGUUUUCAGUGAACAACAGCUCUAUACCUAUGAGUAGCACUCCUGUGCCAGGAGGCGCAACACAUGAUGUUGUUCCAACCAUCAGCCUAGAGUAUGUCCUGGAGCGCAGUGCUGAAGAGAACAGAGCUAGCUAUUUGCCCAGAAGGAUGGCCACUUUCGAUGAACACUUGGAGCACACCCACCAACAACGCAGGGGGACAGGUGAUGAGGCGAUUGCUAAUGACGGAGGUGUGCUGCUGUUGGGACGGCACGCUACACACCAUGCAGCAUUAGCACGGAAUGUGAUCCCCUCAGGUUUGGUAGCAUUCUCUUUACAAAAGUGUUGCUAUGUUGAUUCAACAUGCAUUACUCAGCGGUCUUCUGGCCUGUAAUCUAACAUUCAACUAACUCGUGGAUGCCAAAAAUGCAGUCCGUGAACGAGGAGAGAGCUCAGCUGGUCCAAUGCAUCAUCAACCAAGAAGAUGGGACGAUGGUAACUAUAACACCUCAGCUAUACUAUUUUCUUUUGCGAAUAAAAGUGUCCCCGCUGAUUUUGAUGAUGAAUGCGGAACAGGGGUGCAAGCAAUGAAUGCUGAACUUAACAGAGGCCAAGAUCCCCCAAACGUUAGAAUUCAGUGGGGUGAAAGAUUCCCAAGGCACGUCGGCUUGUCACAUGACGAGCCACCCCCACAAUCUGUCCUGCGCUUCUAUGAUGAAAUGUUGACAGGGAGCGACAUGAAUCUUUCAAGGUAAAAAAUCUCUAUACCUAUAAUACCCUAAAACGAAUGAACAACUAGGCUUGUAGUUCUAAAUUUUGCAAGGAACAAACAACCAGAAAUCUAUCUCAUUGUUUGUGAAAGAGAGAAGUCCACAUUUCAACCUCGAACUAGCCACUCGGUUUGAUUUGCAACCCCCAACUUUGAAACCGGUCGAAAUACACCCCAAACUAACCACGAGGUCCAAAACACAACCCUAGUCUCGGUUUUGUGUCUGCCAAGCGGUUUUGACCGAAGUCAACGCUGACUGGACUGCUGACUAGGCACCCAGGAAAUAAAAAAACAAGAACCAAACUCUACCCCCUCUUCUAUCUCUCUCUGCCGAUGAGUAAAAGGAUGCAUGCAGCCGCCGCAGCUCGUUCUCUCUAUCUCUGUUCAUCGCCCAGCCACCCCUGCCUCUGUCUGCCGUCGGCGGCAGCCUACAUCACCUGCAACCUGCAACCGGAACAGCUGCUCUAGCUGCUCGCAAACAACCAGUCCGCGGCGCCUAGGCAGCACCGAUGCAGUACCUCCGUCCGUCGCCGUCGCCAGACAACACCAACUGCAGCCUCUAGCUGGAAGCCUGGAACAGCCGUUCCGGGCCGCCGUCGCCUGUAUAGGAAGAUGACGACCGGGAGGAUACUAUGCUCUCUGCCGCCGCCUCGCUGCGUCAACUCCGGCGAGAGAUUGCCGCCUGAGGAGAUGGAAACCGGUGCCUCCGAGCACGAUUGUACGGUUGCCUCGCCACUACGAACCUCCCGCGCCAUCCCACGGAAGAAGACGACCAAGGAAACACCGAUCCUGACGAGAACCGCACUGCCCUGUCAUCUUCGUCAACUCCGGCGAGCCCUCAUGGACGGGAUCUCCUCGGAUGGACCUCGAAGAUCCGGACAAGCCUGUCGUCCGGUACUGGCUGAAGGGUGCCGACGCCGUUGACCUCGCCCCCGAGCUGCUUCAAGUUGGCGGCGCUGCUGCAUGGUCGGGAAAGGGGCACUGCGUGAUGGACGGCGGGGAGUGGUCGGGGAGGGGCGUCAGCGGAGCUCGGGACGGCAGUGUUGGAACCGGUCUUUCAGGUAGUAGUGCAUGCACAAACGUGCGUGCUGUUGCUGUGCCAACGCCCACGAUCUGCAUGCUACUACUCAUUUCUAGGGGUGGUUAGCCUGUGCAUAGCUAAGUUAGUUAAGAUAGCUGUGUACCGUGUGUAAUCUCUGCACUGAGUGAAUCAAUACAGUUGUCCUCACUUCACUUUCUACAGGCAGCGGCAACAGUAGCAAGGACCGAGUCCAGCAAGGCACGGGCAUCCAGUACCCGGCGGCGGAGAGAGAGAGAGAGGGGUAGGAGUGAGAGAGAAGUUUUUUUUAAAAAAUUUCCUGGGUGCCUAAUCAGCAGUCCAGUCAGCUUUGACUUUGGUCAAAACCGCUUGACCGACACAAAACCGAGACCAGGGUUGAGUUUUGGACCUCAUAGUUAGUUCGGGGUGUAUUUCUACCGGUUUCGUAGUUCAGGGUUGUAAAUCAAACCGAGUGGUUAGUUCGAGGUUGAAAAGUGGACUUCUCUCUUUGUGAAACAUUUUGCAGGAAGUGGUUCCGUCACUUUGUGUUCCGUGUUGCGGUGAUGUCUGGGCACGACAUACAACAAGAAUUCAGGCAUGGGGGCAAGAUAAGCCGUGUGGGAUGGAGGUGCAUCUACAAGAUGCUCUCAGAGAAGGAGCGCAGGAUGUACAAGGACUGGCUGGACCGAUGGAGGGUUUUCUUCGACCCAGUGUUUGCGGUGAGACAAAAACAGGAUUUUAAAACAUCCUUUGAGCAAAACUCUAAUGGGUCCAGCAUGCAUAUGGGUCCUGCUUGACUAAUUCGACAUUGCUACCACAGGAUGAGCUCCUGAACCAUGAGUUCGACAUUGAUCUGGACCUGAUAAGGGAGAUGCUAAGCCAAAAUCAUGUAGGGUGCAGAGCUGACUGGGCAAAAAUGGUAUGUUGUCCUAUCUUUAUCACUUCUUACUUCGCAUAUUCCUUAUCACGUCAUGUUCCACUCCUGUGCAAAAAUGAUUCUACUGAAAGAAAUUCCACUCCUAUGCAGUUUAUGUUCCCUGUGUGGCUUGCACGUACCUGGUCUCUCUAUGUGCUUGACAUAGAUCAUAAGAAAAUCUUGGUGAUGGACCCUAUGGAGACCAUGAGCGGUAACAUGAAGCUGAAGCAUGAGGAGAGUGCGAAAUUGUUUCUUAAAGGGUUCUGCUGGUGUGUAAACAAUAUCUACCAUGGCGGUUUGGUUGGAUCCCUUGGUUGGACCUUCAGUUACAAGACUGGAAUGCAUCCUCCAUGCUCGAGGUAAAGCCCGGACGUAUAAACCCCUAUACGAUCACUAACAGAUCGUUUUAUGUCGCAUACAAAACUUAAAUUCUGACUAUGUCUUACACAGGGAAAACAGUGGGAUAUACAUAGUGCACUACCUCAGGGAUUACAACGGCCUUUACAUCCGUACACUGACUAAUGUAAGCAUAUGUCUUUGCAUAAAUCAAAGACACACACACAUCGACAAGGAUUAAUAUGAACUGUUUGGUUGAAAUGCAUAGGGAGAGCUGGAGUACUUGAGGAAGAAGCUGGCCUACGAGAUAGUUGCGAUGAGAGGCAACAAGGGUGACUUCCCCGACUUCAUGUACCUGGAGAUCCUUGAGUGAAUGCUGACAGGGAAUCGUGCAACUGCGUCAACAAUCCUUUUGGUGAAGAAGUAGACCAUGAACGACCUUUUGGGAGGCAAAAAGGACUACAUCCAAGAGCCAGGCAAAUAGGCGUGCAUUUCAUCUGCCGUAGGCUGAACUACCGUACUGCUUUAAUAUCUAUUUUAUGUUGAACUAAGUACGAAGUGUGACCCCAUCGGAUCUGUGGGGGGCUACCUUAUAAAUCCAGUUCUAGUUGUACGUUGAACUUAAGUCUGUAGUGUCCGUGAACCAAUAUCGCCUGGGAGUGAACUAAUGUGUGGGCUUCUAUUAGCGUAUAUGAAAGUCCUUAAAGCGAAAACGACUACUUCCAUCUGCCAUGGGCUGACCUAUUUAGAACUGAGUAUUAACUGUGCUGCUUUCUGGGCUGGGGAAUCGGGGCUAGCUUAAAGAUACAUUCGAAGUUAAAAGUGAACCAAUAGCGCACGGGGGGUGGACCACCUGUCUACGUAGGCAAGAAAAAUUCAUGAUUACUCAGCUAUUUUGUGUGAAUGGUGUUACUAAUUGCUAAUCGCAAACACUCAUGGGGCUACCAUCUGGUCAGUUUAGAGAAGAAAGAGAGUCGAAGCUGCUUUGAGACAGUAUGACUGCCCGCCCUACAUUUACCAUAGACAAAUGGGAUUAAUUUUAAUUCUCACUUGCAGCGGAAAACGGAAAAAAUGGUUCCUCCCUAGGUUAUAUUUCUUUGGCACAUGAUAACCCAUGCAAACAAAAAAAGGUUCUCAGGGAAAACACCACAAUCAGUUGUGGCCAUUCGUACUAAGACGUGAUCACUUCUCAUGAAUAAAAAGGACCCACACGAAUGGUCAAUUACUGCUAAAAAUAGCAUACAUAAGGGAUGUCAGGUUUCAUACUCCAUUUAACGAAAUGGUGUUGUUCCAGGGUCAUGUUGGAGUGAUACAGAAGCACGUAUGGCAAACAUAUCAUUUCAGCAUAAAAUGCGAUAUACCCCCAACACACAACCCCCGCCGCGUCCCCAAACUAAACAAGAUGUGCCCCGCAUCCACUAGGUCUCGGAGUAGGAGCCGAAGCAUGAAUCACUGGGAGCUAGUGCUGCCCACAAUGCAUCUCCAGCUUUGGAUGUCUGGUUUCCCUGAAGCUUCAAGCACUCAAACAGAGCUUGCUUCUUGGUUUUUGCUAGGUUGGGCUGUGCAAUGAGAUUGGUCCAGCGUGAGGCGGUCGGUUCAUCCACAAAGUCACUUCAUUUGCAUUAAUUAACAAAAAGAAAAAAAUCCUAACAUCUUCAUAUCAGGUUACCUUCGUUAGUGGCAGCAUCAUCUUUCUGCCAUCAUAGUGCCGUGCAAUGUGAACUACGGCAAUUCCAGAUUCCUCCCUGAUAAAAUAUAAUAAAAACAGAAGAAAACAUCAUUAGUGUUAGUUUUCACAGUACAUCGCUCGUAUGGUAUGAUAGAAAAAAAGACAUGCUUACUUGCAGAAAUUGGUGUCCGUGAGAGCAGGGAAGACAGUUCUCCAAUUGUCUUCCACGACAGGCCACCCAGCAUAAUACUCAUUCAGGCAGUUGAAUAAAGCAUUGUGAAGCUUCCGUUCUACCAACUCCUGACGUACCUUCACUACUGGGUUGGUGCUGUGGCGCUGAACAAGAGGGUCAAGUACAUGGAUAAUCUUGGCAAUCAUGUCCCACAUCAUGAGUAACCACCCAUCUUGUAAUGGCACCGGCAACAGAAACUUCGGUUCGGAUGACAAACCAGCAGCAAAAUAUAAGACAAUAGUUAGCACAGACCAGCAAAACAUAGAACUUCGUCUGCCGGGGUAAACUAGAUAAAGACUAUAUUCAUUCAUGUACCAUUUGAGCUGUCGUGAUAUCAUACGGGUGGCAUUCACCAGUUAGCUGUUUCUGAAUGGAAAUCGAGUACGUGUAGUCAUGAUAGGAUAGCGCAAGGGUUUGCAAAAAAGAGUGAAAAAAUGAAUAGAAGUAACUCCAUUAAGAUAACCAUAGACUAGUAACUACGACGCGGACCACCGCGCUUCGUAUGUAAUUUACCGAUAAAUCUGCUUCAAGGCUGUGCCGCCAACUGAGAUAUGGGGAAUCCCGAUUACAUUCUGCAUGUGCUUGCAUAAACCGCCGGAGGAUAAUACACAUUAGCUCAUGGUCUAGCAACCUUUCCCCCACGAGCUGCUGCUUUAGUGCUAGACCAGUAACUCUAAUGUACCGUGGAGAAUCAUGGAUGAUGAACAAACUGAAAAAAAUGUCACAACUACAUAUAAGUUAACAAUGUCAAGAUUCGCAACUAUCUUCACCGGAUAAAUGAAAAAUGAAAAAUAAAAGAGCACACAUGUGUCAUCUCUUACCUUGAGAGCACUCCGGGCUGCGCAUUGUUGAAGUAGUGCUCAAUUUGCUCGGCUACAUCCGGCAGUGGCGGGUACGGCACACACCCACGCCCCCACGGAUCAGUCGCGUACCCAUGUUGAAAGAUGUAUUUCUGUUUAGGCAGGGUUUUGUUGCUCUGACCAAAAACUACUGCUGUAAAAUUAGAGGGCAGGUCCGCAUACAUCUCAGCGAUUGCCCUGAAAGUGGACUUGCAGAACUCAGUGACCUCCACUACGAUCUCGUGCGGGAUAGCCAAAUCAACAUGCACUCGCUUCACUGUAUCAGCACGACACAGGGGCUGGGCGCUGCGUUUAGCACCAGCGCUGCCUUCAUCUGCUGGGGUUUUUGCUUGGAAAUGCAAAAAUGCAAAAUAAGAGGCCAGACAUCAUUGGUGGUCCAGUACGACGAGAGUAUUUGAACUACAUGAAAAACGGCAGUAUUGACUUUGCUUAAAAACUUAUUCACCUCCACACCCUGAUAGGUCCAGCCUUCGGCCAUCGAUUUUGCUUGUUACGGGGGUGCUGAACUGCUCUCGCACAUGAUUGCUCACUGAUGAUAUGAAAUAACAAAGAUUGGAGGAGCUUUAGCAACCGUACCUUCACUAGUUGAUAACCAAAAGAAAGAAAGAAAAGAAACUUGUUUUACCUGUACCUCCUAACGGACAGUCUGCAAAACCCCUGGCAGGGCAACAGACACAACGUCGGCUCAGCGAUGAGUACAGAUCAUCUGCUAACUUCAGCAUGUCUUUCAUGAUGCUCUGCCUUGCGUUUGCUAGAUGAAGCAAAGCUCUGGUAUUGUGCUUCUUCAGUAGAAGUGAUAUCUCAUCUGCAACCUGCGGAGGCAAAUGAAACGAAAUUGCUAAUGCAUCAGUCCUAACUGCUACAGAUAUCAAACAAAAAAUGGUUGCCCAAGACCCGUAGGGAAUAAAAAUUGGACAAUAAAAAAGGCAACCAGUUUCGGAUAGUGUUGACGCAAAUAAUUGCCAAGGUCCAUUGGUCCUAUGUCACCCAUUGGUGCGGAAAUAGGAACUGGUGCGCCAACGGGCGCGUCAGCGUGUUCAACACUAGGCGUCUGGACAGGUUGCGCAACAUAGGCUCCACCGCUUUUUUUGUUGUGAGAUCUAGAUGUGCUGUGUGAAGUCUUCACAUUUUUUUCCCGGCACUGACCCCACAUGUAGCACACAACUGAUGGGUCUCGUAACUGAAAAAAACAUGACAGAGCAAGAAAAUGUCGGUUAAACAUGCAACAUUCUUUUCUAUGCUACAGAAAAGGACCAAAAAGAAUUUAUAAUUGACCACUCACAGGUGCAUACGACCACGAAUUUGCCGACUUUAUUGGAUCAGUUGCCAUGAUGAUCAUAUUUCGAAGGCAAUCGGCGUCAAAAUCACUUAUACGAGGAAAUACAUCGUGCUUCUUGUUGAACGUACCAAGGUGCAGGCUAUCAAGGGUGAAAAUCUGAUGACGAUAUGCACAAAAUCAAUGAUGAAUUAAAUGCAUCCUCCAAAGUUGGCAAAAAGAUCAGAUUGCCUGUAUCAUGCAUAUUGCGGGCUGAUUCUCACCUGAUAGAAAAGAUGACAUCCUGUAAGGUUCGUGUUUAAGUUAUUCAAGAUAAUGUCCCUCUUGAGCUUCCUCACAGCAUCCAGCAAAGCGUCUAGCACAUACUGGCACCAGUUAAACUGUGCAAUGUUUUCUGUACUGGCCAGGGCUCCCCAAAAAUCAAUAGUUGCAUAGUCGUACUUCGUCUUAGGCACAAGAACAAGACCCAUCACAAAAAUAACAAAUGCAAUUUGGAAGCAGUCCUUCUCCAGCUUCGAUGAUUCUUCCGUGAUGUCCCUGAGAAGGAAUUCCUCUACUGCACGCAAACUAUGGACGCCAGUACGAUUCAUGCCAAUAGUAUUCUUGAUGAACUUUAUGGCAUCGGGGUUGAUCACGGCAUCACGACCAAUAACUUUUCGCUUCCCACAUGGAAUCCCAAACACCUUGUGCACAUCUUCAGCCUAGAACCUAAGCACCUUCGACUCUGUUAGAAAGAUAGCUCGGCGACUGACGCUAACCUUUCUCAUUAGCCAUGCACUGUACUUUAGAUUCAACUUAUGCAGAAGUGGUAACUUGAGCAUUCCUCCAAAACCAAUCUCCUCCACAAGCCACCUCUUAUAGUCAGAGAACUUCUGUAUGACCACAACUGCAUGCUUGACAGAGAUCCUUGAUGUAGCAGCCGGUGGAUCCCCAUCAUCAGCACUGAAUGUGGCUUGCACUAUGUCAGCCGGCUGCAUCUCCGCAUGCCGGUCAUCUCUGUUGGAUCCUUCCAUCGAAUCAUUCCCACAACUACCUAACUCCGACAUUGUGCCUAUAGACCAAAAAAAUCAACCAACAUAAGAACCCAAGCUGGCGACAAAAACUGGCAUGUGGAGCAGGGUUGCGAAAAAAUCUUACCUCCACCGGCGGAGGCGACGCCGCUCAGAUCCGUCUCCGUCUAGCGCGUUUCACCACUUUGUCUCGAAGAACAUCGGUAGGAACUUCGCCAAAUCUACAUUGCCCAAGCCCUUUCUGCUCCAAAGGGUGCUCGAGGCCUGGCAGCAGGAUGGGGAGUGGUGUUCUGAGGUUAGGUGAGCGGUGUCCAUAACUUAUGCAGGCCCUCCUAUGUGAUGAGUUGUAUCACACUACGGACGGUUUGGGUUGUGCAUUUAGUCACACCAGUAUGCCAGCUGCCACGUGUUGAACAUGAGGCAUGCAAUCAUGACUGUAUUAGGACUAAAAAGUGAGUAACAGGCGCGAUUACGAGAAAAUGAAACACUAGCACCCGAGAAAAUUGGGUCCUGGAGAACGAGGUGAUUCAUUGUGCGCGUGGCGAAGCAACUGAACGUCGACAACCUUAAACUUGCAAAAAUCGAAGGAGGUAAAAAAGGAACGCCAUUCUAAAAAUAUAAGCAGUUCCAGCUAGACAUUCAUAUAUCAUUAAGGGUGCAGCCGUUAAAGUGCACAACACAUUACAACUGCUGGUCGCUUACAAGACUUUGACCACAUUUUCCAAAAUACUAAAACAACAUCGAUUAGUACUAUGGGGUCGAGUACAAACACUCGAAUUCAGCAUCAGUCCUACUCCUGCAUCCAAACCACACUAGUAGGAGGGGCGUCGAGUACAAACACUCGAAUAUGGACAUUGCUUCUGUCCUACGGCAGCAUCUAAAUCCAAACCUCACUGGUACUACUAGGUUCCACACAUAACAAAUCUACUGGCUGUUUCCGCCCAGAUACACCAGCAGAACCACGCCUAAUGCGAUUAUGGUGACCAGCAGGUUGGCGCAGCCCACCAGCAGGGUUGCCGCAGCAAUGACCCCCUGCAGAUCUACCGACUUGCGCACAGCCAUCCUGCCGAUGGGUGCCCGCUGCUCCUGGGCCUGUGGGAUUGCAGGAUUCCCGGCCACGAUAGGCGCAGCACCGCCUCCGCACCCUCGACCGCGCCCUACUCCACGCCC
rnacentral:lncRNA from 1 species